rnacentral:rRNA from 1 species
GAUGAACGCUGGCGGCGUGCUUAACACAUGCAAGUCGAACGGAAAGGCCCAAGCUUGCUUGGGUGCUCGAGUGGCGAACGGGUGAGUAACACGUGGGUGAUCUGCCCUGCACUUUGGGAUAAGCCUGGGAAACUGGGUCUAAUACCGGAUAGGACCAUCGUUUAGUGUCGGUGGUGGAAAGUUUUUCGGUGUGGGAUGAGCUCGCGGCCUAUCAGCUUGUUGGUGGGGUAAUGGCCUACCAAGGCGUCGACGGGUAGCCGGCCUGAGAGGGUGUACGGCCACAUUGGGACUGAGAUACGGCCCAGACUCCUACGGGAGGCAGCAGUGGGGAAGAUUGCACAAUGGGCGCAAGCCUGAUGCAGCGACGCCGCGUGGGGGAUGACGGCCUUCGGGUUGUAAACUCCUUUCGCCAAGGACGGAGCGUUUUGUGACGGUACUUGGAGAAGAAGCACCGGCUAACUACGUG